ACUGUGCUUUUACCGUUUUACGUUUCUGUGGAAACGAAACAUAGAUUUCACCGCGCCGUAUUUUAUGUUGUCAUAAUAUUUUUAAAUAAAUUUUUUUUAAAACAAAAUUGAGAAAUUUCCAAUAUGAGAUAUGUAAUAUAAUAUUUCUCAUCUUUGAAUUUUUUAAUUCGAAUUUAAUCAGAUAAAAAAAAGUAUCUAUUUUGAAAUGAUGAUAUUGCACAUAAUGCAUAAUUUUAAGGCUAAGAAAGGGAUCAGAAUACGAUUAAAAGCAAAAAAUUGAAUUUACACAACGCAUUGUAUAAAAUAAUUCGAACUGAAAGAUAUAUAAGAAAUCUUAUAAAGAAUUUGUUAAAUGGAUUUCAAAGUAUGAAUAUUGUUUAUUUAAAUUUUGCAAUUGUUGACAGUCACGACUAGUAAAUAUAUAACGCACGAAAUGUCUAGAGAACAUUUUAGAAAGUUUCUGUUCCACAUUACUUUGAAACUUUAAUGGGAAUAGUCAGCCAAUCUAUUACCGAUUCAAGUACCAAUUUCACAAAUAUAAAUAUAGAAGGAAAAAGAGAAAGAAAGGAAGAAAGGAAGAAGAAAAAAGAAAAAAAGAAUUCACGAUGAAAAUGAGACACCGAUAAACUGCAGCUUAGGUUAUCGUUCCACGACCACGCCAUUAUUUUUUUCACCUCGAGAAACAUUCCAUCGACGAUGCAUCACCGAUCAGCCAAGUCAACAACCUUUCUUUUAUCUCUUUAUGUUCCGAUUGUUCGCGCCUUAUCUGUCUAAAACCAAGUCAUGUAUUGAUAUCAAAUAAAAGUGCGGAUAUAAAUAUCCAAUUAUCUUAUUCGAAGAAUAAUUUUAUCUGGAGUUAUAUCAACAAAUUCGGAUAAGGAUCGCCAUAAGUCACACGUUAAACAUCUAUCGUUCUAAAGAUAUCGCGAUAUAUCUCUGGGAUUAUGAUUCAAGAUUACUUUCGCAAAGUUUUUAUUGCUUGGUCGAUUGCUUCGAAAUAAUUUCGAAGAAAAAUGAAUUUAUGUUUCUUUACAUUCAAUAAAUUGGAAGAUAAAAGAUAAGAUAA